rnacentral:rRNA from 1 species
UUUGAUCCUGGCUCAGAACGAACGCUGGCGGCAUGCCUAACACAUGCAAGUCGAACGAGAAGGUACCUUCGGGUACUGGACAGUGGCGCACGGGUGAGUAACGCGUGGGAACCUGCCCUGAGGUACGGGAUAACGGCUGGAAACGGCCGCUAAUACCGUAUGUCCCCUGCGGGGGAAAGAUUUAUCGCCUUGGGAGGGGCCCGCGUCCGAUUAGCUAGUUGGUGAGGUAAUGGCUCACCAAGGCGACGAUCGGUAGCUGGUCUGAGAGGAUGAUCAGCCACACUGGGACUGAGACACGGCCCAGACUCCUACGGGAGGCAGCAGUGGGGAAUAUUGGACAAUGGGGGCAACCCUGAUCCAGCAAUGCCGCGUGUGUGAUGAAGGCCUUAGGGUUGUAAAGCACUUUCACUGGUGAAGAUGAU